UCCUCAAUUAAAAACUUACAUUUGAUAAAGAUCUGAAUGGACCUUUAAGUGUAUCCACAGUCUAAAUGUUUAGAUUGAAUAAAACAGCAGUUGGCUAGAUUAUCCUUGAACUAGAUAGAGAAUAGGGUACUCCCACCUAUAAAUUCUUCAAGCGUUUCUCACGGCUUAUAGGAGAGACCAUUCAGAGACCUUAGCCUGGCAUUCAAGGCCUGCAGCAGCUGGAUCCUGCCCGCCUUCCCAGCCUCCUCUCCAGCCAUCACCCCACACCUCUCCGAUUCCAGUCAUACCACCAUGUUUAUCGUCCCCUAAAGCCAUGCCUCUGAGUCUCUGCAGAGGCUGUUUCCUUUGCCUGGAGUCCUUGUUCUCCCUCUGUGCCUGGUAAACUCCUGCUCAUCUUAAGCAUCUGUUCCAGCUUGGUUUCCUUUUAAAAGUCUUCCAUGAUUUCCUCAGGUAGAGUAACUCUUUCCUCUGAGCUCCCAAAUUUCCAUUCCUCAGCUACAAUUUUUAUUACAUUGUGGUGUAGCUGUUUCCUUGCCCAGCUUCCCCACUUGGCUGAGACUUCUUUGAGGAUAGAGACCAUUUUACUCAUCUUUGUACCUUCAGUAGGUAGCAACAGUGCCAAUCACAUAGUAGUAACUUAAUAAGUCUAGGUGGACUGAAUGUUGAAUAUAUUUUAAAUGCUUGACUGAGAACAUUCAGUGACAUUGUCAGAGAGAAGAAAAACAAGUUUCUAGUGUACUUUUUUCUAUAUACCAUUCUGCACUUUGGGUAAGGUGGCUCACGUUGUAAAAGCAUACAGACCUAAACCAAUAACAUCAUUUAUCUAAAAAGCAAGAAUCCCUUACAUCCUUGGUGAUAGAACAUGUAUGUAGUAUGCUGUAUUUCAUAUGACAUUAAAGAUUUAAAAUACAUUUGAAAUUAGAAAUGUAAAUAAGUGGAAGAACUAAAUAAGCAAGUGGUUUUAAUUGGGGAUGAGUUUGCCCCCUAGGGGACAUUUGGCAAAGUCUGGAACCAUUUCUGGUUG
rnacentral:lncRNA from 1 species